GCUUCGGGCGCGGCACCGGUCUAAGUCCCUUGGAACAGGGCGUCAUAGAGGGUGAGGAUCCCGUAUGUGACCGGCGACCAAGUCCAUGUGAAGCCCCUUCGACGAGUCGAGUUGUUUGGGAAUGCAGCUCAAAAUGGGUGGUAAAUUUCAUCUAAAGCUAAAUACCGGCCAGAGACCGAUAGCGCACAAGUAGAGUGAUCGAAAGAUGAAAAGCACUUUGGAAAGAGAGUCAAAAAGUACGUGAAAUUGUUGAAAGGGAAGCGCUUGUAACCAGACCUGCCGUCGGGUGCUCAGCGGGCACUUGUGCCCGCCUAUUCACCCGCGAUCAGGCCAGCAUCGGUUUGGGCGGCCGGAUAAAGACUCGAGGAAUGUAGCUUCGCUUCGGGGAAGUGUUAUAGCCUCGGGUGCAAUACGGCCAGCCGGGACCGAGGACCGCGCUUCGGCUAGGAUGCUGGCGUAAUGGUUGCAAGCGACCCGUCUUGAAACACGGACCAAGGAGUCUAACAUCUAUGCGAGUGUUUGGGUGUCAAACCCAUGCGCGGAAUGAAAGUGAACGGAGGUGGGAACCCUCAAGGGCGCACCAUCGACCGAUCCGGAAGUUUACGGAUGGAUUUGAGUAUGAGCAUAGCUGUUGGGACCCGAAAGAUGGUGAACUAUGCCUGAAUAGGGUGAAGCCAGAGGAAACUCUGGUGGAGGCUCGCAGCGGUUCUGACGUGCAAAUCGAUCGUCAAAUUUGGGUAUAGGGGCGAAGUAAGCAUCCCCGGCUCCUUAUUUUCUGGUGUAACAAUUGCUAACAUAUCAACCAGAGACUAAUCGAACCAUCAAUUCGCUACUAGGUGGUUAAACGGAAGGGGUUGAUUAUACCCCCCAUUUUUAGCCCUCCGGGGUAACAAUGCUAAUUGCAUGGAUUCCUCCCGGGAGGGAGCUUAACAUGCAGCAGCCUAUAAGACGAUGUUCCGAUGUCGUUGGCUGUCCACAGACCAAAUAGCGUUGGCCAGGGGUAUAUCCCUGGUUUUGACAUGGUCGAGUCUUGCCUGCAAUAGGGUUUGGCCCUUAAAUCGUUCCUGUAUGGUUCUCUCACUGUUUCCUGUGGGACCCUCUACAGGGCUUGGGGGCCUUAAGUACAGACGCUAGUAGCUGGUUCCUGCCGAAGUUUCGUAAGUUCUUCCGUAGGAGCGCCCCCCUUAAUAUAAGCCUCUACUAACAAUUUCAAUAGCCUCAGGAUAGCAGUAACGUUUUCAGUUUUAUGAGGUAAAGCGAAUGAUUAGAAACCUUGGGGAUGAAACAUCCUUAAUUUAUUCUCAAACUUUAAAUAUGUAAGAAGUCCUUGUUACUUAGUUGAACGUGGACAUUUGAAUGCACCGUUACUAGUGGGCCAUUUUUGGUAAGCAGAACAGGCGAUGCGGGAUGAACCGAACGUGGGGUUAAGGUGCCGGAAUGUACGCUCAUCAGACACCAGGGGGGAGACUUGUGGUGUCGGGCUGGAGGGGGGGGGAGAGGCCCCUCCAGCGUUAGUCUGCUCAGGGCGAGGUCUUUGACCUGUUAGGGGUCGGUGGUCGCUCCGCGAUGGCCUACCCUCCGCUGUCCCCUCCUGCGGGGGCAGCUCACAGAUCAAGCAAAGGCCGGCGGCAGGAUGCCGUUGGAGAUAUGAUCGGCCCCUGGA
rnacentral:rRNA from 1 species